GUGUACCAAACACCACCAUUGUGUAAACUUGGCUAGUAAUUACAAGAAGAAAAUGACCUCUCUCAACACUGUCUUCGUGUAUUUUCUAGUCUUUUAAGUGACCUGCUCUCUUCUGAUGCUACAGCUUUCAGCUUCUCAAACAUGUCUUCUGUUAGGCAAGGCUUGGCAUCCCGGCUUCUGUGAGCGGACCAUAACAGCUUGUCUUCCUCUCUGUCUGUUUAAACAUUUAUCUCCUCGGCAGCUCAGAGCCUGCAGAGGAGAGGACCUGUCCUACAGCUGGUUUGGAAGAGGGAGGAAAUAACUUGGCAUUGCAACAUACAGACAGACAGACAUCCUGCAACACGUUGCGUAACACACAGACUCCUGUUCUGCUAUGGACCACUGGGUUCUCCUCUCUGUGUCUCUCCUGGCCUACCUGUAUCUGGAGGUGGCUGGAGCUGGGGCCCAGGACCAAAGAGGGCUGGCAGGCCAGGGCAACGGGAGGAGGAGAGGGCCAGGGGGCGCAGAGCACAACCAGCUCCAGGGAGUAGGACUAGGACGGGGAAAGAGGAGGAAGGCAGGAGGGCCCGGGAAAGGGAGAGCCAAGGGGAACAGGGACAAUCAGAGGUCGAAACCCCCCCUGGGUCUGACGAGGCUGGGGAGUCUUCCACCCAACGCAGGAGGAGACGGAGGGUCUAUAUUCAUUGAGUCGUACAAGAGUGUUGACGAGAGACAGUCUAACUACAAUGUUAUCCCAGGU